CUUAAAUUGAAGAGUUUGAUCAUGGCUCAGAUUGAACGCUGGCGGCAGGCCUAACACAUGCAAGUCGAGCGGUAGCACGGGGGAGCUUGCUCCCUGGGUGACGAGCGGCGGACGGGUGAGUAAUGUCUGGGAAACUGCCUGAUGGAGGGGGAUAACUACUGGAAACGGUAGCUAAUACCGCAUAACCUCGCAAGAGCAAAGAGGGGGACCUUCGGGCCUCUCGCCAUCAGAUGUGCCCAGAUGGGAUUAGCUAGUAGGUGAGGUAAUGGCUCACCUAGGCGACGAUCCCUAGCUGGUCUGAGAGGAUGACCAGCCACACUGGAACUGAGACACGGUCCAGACUCCUACGGGAGGCAGCAGUGGGGAAUAUUGCACAAUGGGCGCAAGCCUGAUGCAGCCAUGCCGCGUGUGUGAAGAAGGCCUUCGGGUUGUAAAGCACUUUCAGCGGGGAGGAAGGCGGU
rnacentral:rRNA from 2 species